rnacentral:tRNA from 1 species
UGUAGCUCAGUGGUAGAGUGCUUGCCUCCCAUUCAUGAAGCCCUGGGUUCAAUCCUCAGCA